UUUAUGGAGAGUUUGAUCCUGGCUCAGGAUGAACGCUGGCGGCGUGCCUAAUACAUGCAAGUCGAGCGAACGGAUGAGAAGCUUGCUUCUCUGAUGUUAGCGGCGGACGGGUGAGUAACACGUGGAUAACCUACCUAUAAGACUGGGAUAACUUCGGGAAACCGGAGCUAAUACCGGAUAAUAUUUUGAACCGCAUGGUUCAAAAGUGAAAGACGGUCUUGCU
rnacentral:rRNA from 1 species